CGGUUUAGUACUCACAAGCUUGACUGACACUGCCAUAGCACUUGUGUGUUUCGCUCUGACAACUGGUAGCUAUGGUUCUGCAUGCUGUUGCCAAACUAAUCACCAUUUUUUUUUAGCCCACAUUUUACUCUCAGUUCUGCUCUUGCUGCGGAUCUACAGCACAACUCCACACGCUGUGGUCUAUCAGCAACAGACCUUUCAAUUAAAAACAUUUUAUUCCUUCCAGCGUUUUCUUUUAAAUAACAUUGUUUUCCUGUCUUCCCUCCUCUUCCUCCUCUCCAGCUGACGGCUCAGCGUCCGUCCGGGCUGUCCUCUCCGUCAGGAUCAGACACGGCUCCUCAGUGUCUCCUCCUGGAGAGGCGCGGCGAUGCUGAAGCUCAGCAGCUCCAGGAGCCGGCCUCCCUCCACGACCCCGAGCUCACCCACCCGGGAACACCCACCGACCCCCCCGUCGUUGGAGCUCAAAGCCGUGUGUCCUCGCCCCGCUCGCCGUCCUCACCCCGCUCGCCGCUCAGCCCCCUCCACGACCGCCUCUCCCCUCCGCCACCCUCCAAAAGGCUUCCAGUAACGGCGCUUUAUCCAACCUAAAAGACCCCGAUGCCCCUCCUAGUGUGACAGAGCCUCAGCUCAAAGAGGAGGAAAACCCCAAACAGCCAAUCGGCUCGGCUUCCCCCACCGCUGCACCCCGGAAAGACCCCGCCCGCAGGCAGAGCCGCAUCCCCGUGCUCGAGCCUUCCGCCGCGCCCCCCGGCUCCGCCAAGGAAAAGCUCCUGCAGAAAAAGGCCAGCCACCAGGGCCCGGCGCCCUCCCCCACCGCCUCGCCGUCACUCUCCGACAAGCGGGGCGCCAUCAUGGCCACCCUCGCCCGAGACCCGCUGUCGUCCGCCUCCGACCGCUCUCAGGACGAGGACUCCCUCAUGGGCUCCCGCUCCGACCGCCAAGGGGACGACGCUCAGUCGCUGUCCUCCUCCUCCAGCCCCCUCUCCCGCAAGAGCAGGAUCCCCCGCCCCGUUCACUCCGCCUCCUCUGCCGAGCAGCUGGCCGCCCACUUCCUGCCGAGUCCACCCCCGGGGAGGCCACCAAGCCGUCCAGGAGCGGAGGGCAGGCUGAGGCGCUACCGCAUCAGGGUCGGCAGCACAGGUGACGCCGACAUCCUGUCGUGCCUGGCUCAGCUGAUGCACGGCUCCCGCGGCUCCCCGGUUCACCAGCGCUCCUCGUCGCAGCACGGCGGCUCCCGGAUGGGAAUCGGCAGCCUGACCGGCUCCCCGCACCACCACCACCACCACCACCACCGCAGCUCCAGCGGCUCCCCGCGCAGCUCCUCCUCCCUGCAGCGCUCCGUCAGCUCCUCGCCCUCCCGCCACGAGCACCGCGGCGGCGCGGGGGGCGCCUGCCUGGGCCGCAGCCACUCGCCCCCCAGCUUUUCGGGAUCGCCGCCUCCCCGCCGCUUCUACCUUCACCACCAGGAGACGUGCUGCAGCCGGCAGGCGCGCGCCGCCGCCGCCUUCCACCUGUCCAGGGGGAAGGCCGGCUGCAGCCGCGAGGGCAAGUGCUCCAGCAAGCUGAGCAGAUAGUCGACCAGAUUGAGGCUUUUCUGAUAGAUUUGCCGCAUCAUCUUUUAGGCUGUACCCCAAUAUUUAAGUUUCAUGUUUUCUAUGGAUGAAUGAAUCAACAUAUUGAUCUCUGACUGUUUGAGUUAACUGGAGAGAAGCAGAGAAGCCCCCUCUUACUUGAUAGGUAUGUAAGCAUUCACCUUUGACCUCUCCUGCAGCACAAUAAUAUAGUAACUUAUAUAUCCCCAGUAUUUAUGAUUGCACUGAUGGAACUUCUGAUCUGGAGGUAGCAUGCAGGGUAUAGCUGCUCAGCCUGAACUGUCGCACUAACUGAGGUUUUUUUUUUUAAAUUAUUAUUGAGAUGAUUUUGUUGCGAAGCUUCCUGCUCCAUUACCCCAAUCUGUGACCAUAGAUGUGUCUCCCGCGACUUUUAUUCCGAGGGUUUGACCCCUUUAAACAAUCAGCCGUGCGAAGCGCGUGAGGACACACGCCUUUCUGUGCCUACAGUGAUGCCGAGAGGGAGUCGCUGCGUCGCGCUGGCUCAGUGGAAGCCGUAAUCCUAGCCAACAACGAGGUGUUCGUCUCUGCGUGUGCCUUGGGUAGUUUGAGGUUUGAGGAGAGGAGGAGCCAAAACCAGAUGUGUGCCAGCCGUUGUAAAACAAAAUGUUUUUCCAAAGUAGCAGGACAGAUGUUUUAAAAGUAGCUUUUGUGGUGAAAGAGAGCGCCGCAGCUUUCACCAAGUCGUGAAACAAACUUUUUCAUCAAUGGAAGCUUCAGAUCUUUAAAAAAGAAAGCAUUUUUUCAUGUCGCAAAAGAUGUUCACCAAGUCGUUCCAAGAAAGAUCUUUUUAGCUCACGGAAGAUGUAAGCGUUCAAAAAAGUAACCUUCUUUCAAAAAAUGCUGUAAAUUAACCUCAACUUCCUGCUGCUGCUGCAUCCUUUACAGAACAAGAGCGCUGCAAACCAACUAAUGAACUUCAGCAUCUUUCAUCUGCACUUACUCCUCUACAGUCUUGUUAUCCCUGAUUGUGCUGCUAAAGAAUUAGUUUCUUAAAAUGAUCUGUCUGACGCACUAUACAAUUAGCAGAAAUGUCGACAAAGUAUUUGUAAAUGAGACCAUUUUUAAAGUUCCAUUCCAAUUGCAUUUUUUCCGUUGUAAAAUCAAUCUUUUAAUCAUGAUUAUGAAAUUUUUAGCCAAAAUCUUUUUUUUUAAGACAUAUUUUAUGCACGGUGGCAGUAGCUCAUUAGAGAUACAAUUCUGGGUCGUGGUCGGGACUGUUGACACAAAGCAACCCGCCCCCUUCCCCGUCGCUGAGAACUCUGUUUAGCUUAUAGCCUCAAGCUAACAUUAGUGGCUCAAAAAUACUUAAUACUGGAUAAAUCCAGUUUUGAGGAGACUUUGGCAUGCCCAUUUCAGUUGGUGCAUCACUAGUUUGAGCAAUGAGAUAUAUAAGCUAGGGUCGCUACGCUAGCUUGUUGCGUACGCAAAGUUGGACGCCAUAUUGGAUAGGGUUAGAUGUGCUACAAUUGGAAAAACAAGACAUUUUUACAAGUAAAUUAUUAUUCUCAGCUGAUAAAGGAAAACUUCUUGAAAACAUUUUGGAAAAAUCUGAGUGAGGUUAUUUUCAAUUGUGAACGUUUAGGCUGAUCUAUUAAAAGUCAAUGGCAGCUUCAAACUUUGCGCUAUUUCCACGUUUUCAAUAUGGUGUCGCUCUUUUACAUCUCUUAGAGAAUAACAGACUAAUGUAGCCUCUCUAGCUAAAGAACUCAUUUUCGAGCAUCGAUUUUUCUGAUCCAACCCAAUUUUAAUUAAGAAAUUAUCGGAAAAACAGUUUAAAUUGUAAAUUAUUAUAUAUAGGUCCUCUAUUAUACGAAAAUUGAUACAGCAUGUUAAAAAUACAUGAAAAAAAAAUUCCAUUGGAUUGUGUCUUUAAGAAAAAAAAAAGUUGAAUUUUUUCGACUUUGCUUUGGAUGGAAUCUGGCACUUUUCUCCAUCACUCACUCUUCGCUGGAGUCUGCCUAAACGCCAACCCUUUGACUUCCACGCUGAAGCUCAUCUGACAAAGAAAGUAACUGAAUCUGGAUGCAGUUCAUCAAGUAACCACUAGGGGGCAAACAAAUCACUGUAGAAAUAGGAAUACUUGAAUCUACUAGCUUGAUUUAAAACGUGACAGUUGUGCAGGAGAUAUAUUUAUUUAACCAUAAAACGCUAUUUAUUUUUCAUUUUGGCGUGAAGUUGCACAUGCAAAGGCAGUUUUAUUCUUUUCUUGAAAUGUGAUCAAUUCUUGAGCAGACAUACUGGACCAAAAUCAGGCUCGAUUUACUCCGCUAAAGGGACGUUCUCCUCAAAACAUCUGACUUCCACCCCUCAUACUGGUAUUGGCUGUGCUUUUUUUUUUUAUCAUAGUUGGCGUGGUUUGAAGCUGGCUUAAAAUGAAGUGAUAUCUUCCACUCUGUUGUUGAUCCUAGUUCCAUCAAAUCGGAGUGGUUCAUUGACUUUUAGAUGUAAACAAGGGAACAGGGUUUUAAAAAAACGGCGAAUCCUGACCUGAACAAGGGGGUUGUUUUUUUUUUUUUUUUUUUUAGUUCCUGUUGGGCCUAUUCUAGUAAAGGCUGAUGGGAGCCUCCUAAUCACGAAUAAAGGGAAAAAUAGAAUUUGCAGGGACGAGGUAAAAGGGUUUUCUUGAACUGGAAAAGCCUCACAGAGCAGCUACGAUGACUCAUCCUGAAGGCAGACAGUGUUCAGUCAGUCGGCUGCCUUAACGUCUUUUCUCUGCCCCUCUCUGCGUGCUGAGGGAUGACUGAGCCUUGUCUGUGCUGGAGAUCAUUCCACUGUUAGGCCAAGCUAAGCCUUCUGACUCCUGCGCGAGUGCGUCACUGUGAAGGGAAGCAGCGACGAAGCGAGAGCGCGGUGGAGAUUUUCUUAUUUUAGUUUAAUUCCAGUGUUGUAAUUUGUCGUAUUAAAACCCUGAGCUUUGCAAUCAGGGCUGAGCUGAGGCGCACAGAUUUCAACGAAUCCUUUCAGAUUUCAGGACACUGUUCCUAUUAUCAUUUAUACCUGUAAAAUAUCUAAAAAAUACUAUUUAAAAAGUAUUGUAAAACCGUAGCUUAUACGCUAAAAGGCUUCAGAGAAAUGAAGGAACUGACACUAAACAUGGCUGCUGGUUUUUCAAGAUAAUCAGAUUACUUCAUGUUUAUUAUUAUGAUUAUUAUUAUUGCACAUAGGUGGUGUGUAGUAUUAGUAUUUGUGCUACCUACUAGAGUAAAUUUACUUUGUCCCCUUUUCAAAGAUCAGAUAGAAAGCUGUCAUAUUUAUAGUAGCUUGUCGAUGGAGCCGACAGAACAAGCCAAGCUGUUUUAUUUUGAAAUGUUCGAUGGAAACUUAUAAAAGCUUUGAUGUCCACAUGUAUAUUUUUUUUCCGUUAUGUCAUUAAAUGUAUUUCUCGUAAUUUAUUAUUAGAUCCUUAUCACAUUUUUUUUUUUGACACUCAUUUUUCAAAGUUGAUAUUUUUAACUGUUUUGAAAAACAACUGUACAGUCUUGAGGAAGGAAUGUAACAAGUGGCAGUUUUGCAUUGUAUAUAUCUGUAAUUAUUUGCCUUUAUUUUAUUAUUUGUAUCAUAUCAAUGCCUUGUACAGCGUUUUUCCUUUUUUGUUUUUAAAUUAUUUUGUAUUUUAUUUUUAUAAACUGGUUAUGAAUAAAUUUACUCAUUCCGCAUGCAGACAGAAUCAUGUGACAACUGUGUCCUUUUUUCUCCUUCAAUAUUAACAAAUUAAGUAAGGUAUAUAUAUGGAAUUAGAUGCACACAGACACAUUUAAUUAACAAGUUAAAAAAAACCACAAUUUUCACUGAUGGCACCUAAAAUUAAGAAAGUAAAAAACAGAUAAUUAGUCAAAAU
rnacentral:lncRNA from 1 species